UACGUAGGGUGCAAGCGUUAAUCGGAAUUACUGGGCGUAAAGCGUGCGCAGGCGGUUUCGUAAGACAGAUGUGAAAUCCCCGGGCUUAACCUGGGAACUGCAUUUGUGACUGCGAGGCUAGAGUGUGUCAGAGGGGGGUGGAAUUCCGCGUGUAGCAGUGAAAUGCGUAGAGAUGCGGAGGAACACCGAUGGCGAAGGCAGCCUCCUGGGAUAACACUGACGCUCAUGCACGAAAGCGUGGGGAGCAAACAGG
rnacentral:rRNA from 1 species